rnacentral:rRNA from 1 species
GACAGAGGGUGCAAACGUUGCUCGGAAUCACUGGGCGUAAAGAGCUCGUAGGCGGUUUGUCGCGUCUGCUGUGAAAACUCGGGGCUUAACCCCGGGCCUGCAGUGGGUACGGGCAGACUAGAGUGCGGUAGGGGAGACUGGAAUUCCUGGUGUAGCGGUGAAAUGCGCAGAUAUCAGGAGGAACACCGGUGGCGAAGGCGGGUCUCUGGGCCGUAACUGACGCUGAGGAGCGAAAGCGUGGGGAGCGAACAGA